CCUACGGGUGACUGCAGUGGGGGAUAUUGGACAAUGGGGGGAACCCUGAUCCAGCGACGCCGCGUGAGUGAAGAAGUAUCUCGGUAUGGAAAGCUCUAUCAGCAGGGAAGAAGAAAUGACGGUACCUGAGUAAGAAGCCCCGGCUAACUCCGAGCCAGCAGCUGCGGGAAUACGUAGGGGGCAAGCGUUAUCCGGAAUUACUGCGUGCACAGGGAGCGUAGACGGUGAUGUAAGUCUGGAGUGAAAGGCGGGGGCCCAACCCCCGGACUGCUCUGGAAACUAUGUGACUGGAGUGCAGGAGAGGUGAGCAGAAUUCCUAGUGUAGCGGUGACAUGCGUAGAUAUUAGGAGGAACACCAGUGGCGAAGGCGGCUCACUGGACUGUAACUGACGUUGAGGCUCGAAAGCGUGGGGAGCAAACAGGAUUAGAUACCCGGGUAGUC
rnacentral:rRNA from 1 species